rnacentral:rRNA from 1 species
GGAAUAUUGGUCAAUGGGCGGGAGCCUGAACCAGCCAAGUCGCGUGAGGGAUGACGGCCCUAUGGGUUGUAAACCUCUUUUGCCGGGGAGCAAAGUGCCGCACGUGUGCGGUUUGGAGAGUACCCGUGGAAAAAGCAACGGCUAACUCCGUUCCAGCAGCCGCGGUAAUACGGAGGAUGCGAACGUUAUCCGGAUUUAUUGGGUUUAAAGGGUGCGUAGGCGGACGCUUAAGUCAGCGGUAAAAUUGCGGGGCUCAACCUCGUCGAGCCGUUGAAACUGGGUGUCGUGAGUGGACGAGAAGUACGCGGAAUGCGUGGUGUAGCGGUGAAAUGCAUAGAUAUCACGCAGAACUCCGAUUGCGAAGGCAGCGUACCGGCGCCCAACUGACGCUGAAGCACGAAGGCGUGGGUAUCGAA